UAACGCGAAGAACCUUACCAGGUCUUGACAUCUUCUGCUAACCUAAGAGAUUAGGCGUUCCCUUCGGGGACGGAAUGACAGGUGGUGCAUGGUUGUCGUCAGCUCGUGUCGUGAGAUGUUGGGUUAAGUCCCGCAACGAGCGCAACCCUUAUUGUCAGUUGCCAGCAUUUAGUUGGGCACUCUGGCGAGACUGCCGGUGACAAACCGGAGGAAGGUGGGGAUGACGUCAAAUCAUCAUGCCCCUUACGGCCUGGGCUACACACGUGCUACAAUGGUCGGUACAGAGGGUUGCCAAGCCGCGAGGUGGAGCUAAUCCCACAAAACCGAUCGUAGUCCGGAUCGCAGUCUGCAACUCGACUGCGUGAAGUCGGAAUCGCUAGUAAUCGCGAAUCAGA
rnacentral:rRNA from 1 species